rfam:Brassica napus, WGS project CCCW01000000 data, contig: 20650
AAACCAUGAUGUGGGCAUUGAGACCAGUAGCUUCUGAACCUUUACCAUGCUUCACUAAAACCUUCAAGAUUCUUCUGUUGAAACCCAGAGAUCUCAUUUCUAAACUU